rnacentral:rRNA from 1 species
UCAUUUGUCUUCUAAAUANNGACCAGUAUGAACGGCUAAAUGAGGACAGGCCUGUCUCUUACGACUAAUCAGUGAAACUGAUCUCCCAGUACAAAAGCUGGGAUAAAAACACCAGACGAGAAGACCCCGUGGAGCUUCAAACCAGCAGUUAAAAAGCACCCCCACACGACACCUAACAACGCGGUUUUAAGUUGGGGCGACUUCGGAACAAAACAAAACUUCCAAGCACAGAACCACAAGUUCUGACAGAGGCCCACUGGCCAAAGUCAAAACAAUACCAGACCCAGUACCACUGAUCAACGAACCAAGUUACCCCGGGGAUAACAGCGCCAUCUUCUUCGAGAGUCCAUAUCGACAAGAAGGUUUACGACCUCGAUGUUGGAUCAGGACACCCAAAUGGUGAAGCCGCUAUUAAAGGUUCGUUUGUUCAACGAUUAAUAGUCCU